GGAAAAGAGACGAGAAGCACCAGUUGCACAUGCUACAGCUCGUGAUUAAGCUGGUGUUUUGCUGGGAGGCUUUGAUUUGACUUCCAGCUUUCCCUCAGCCUUCACGCAGACAGCUUUCCAGAGCUCUCCUACUCGCUGCCCAUUAGCUCAGGACAGCACACAGCAUUACAAAGGCACCAGAUGACAAAGAUCCAAAUCUACUGACGGGAAAAAAAAUCAGGAAGCAGAGGUGUUGAAAGAGAUGGAGUGAUGAUGAGAUUGUUGUGAAAACAGAGCCAGUAACUAAGGCAGUUUUUGGAUGCAAAGGACAGAAUCCAGAGGAUGCACACUAAGGCCAUGCCUGGACCACAGUGGUAUUUUUGGUCACUUUUCUAGGAAAUUGCUGACAAAUGGUGAGAGUGCAGAACAGCAACAAGAGAAGAAGGAGCCGCAUUAUCAAAUCCAGGCAGGGUGACAACCUGGAAAUCCAGCAGCUGCUAGCAAGCUGCAGAUAGUGCUGGGCUCUGCACAGCUCCCUGAUCCCUACCAGUCCUGCAGCGUAAGUACCCUGCUCCUGAUUUCUGGAUUCCCCAAGCCUUCAGUUACAGCUUCUGGGCUCUGCUUCUUAUCACAGGCCAACACUAACCAGACCAAACAAACCAUGUACAGAGCAAGCCUUGUUUUCCAAGGUGUUGGAUGCUACCCACCAGUUGUUUCCCAGACUUCUGAAAGAUUUAAACACGGUCAUCCAGGCUUCUUCCUGAGCUGUCUGGGAGCACAUCCUCCCUACUUCACAUCACACCCAACACACAAGAAGCAGGAGAAAGGCUGCAGCACUUCUGGCUGCCAAAGGCUGAGCACAUCCCCAGCAGCACAGCACAGCCCUACAUAGCCGGGGUGAGGCAGAGCUGUCGGUCCUCACUGCACGCUGGUGGGGUGGGAACGAUGGCAAUCUGUGUUAGUGAACUUAGACAUUUGGUAUUAGUGUAAUGCAGACACAAUUGUAAUAAAGUCAUUUAUUGGAGCUGUGAAGUGCA
rnacentral:lncRNA from 1 species